rnacentral:rRNA from 1 species
AAAUUGAAGAGUUUGAUCAUGGCUCAGAUUGAACGCUGGCGGCAGGCCUAACACAUGCAAGUCGAACGGUAACAGGAAACAGCUUGCUGUUUCGCUGACGAGUGGCGGACGGGUGAGUAAUGUCUGGGAAACUGCCUGAUGGAGGGGGAUAACUACUGGAAACGGUAGCUAAUACCGCAUAACGUCGCAAGACCAAAGAGGGGGACCUUCGGGCCUCUUGCCAUCGGAUGUGCCCAGAUGGGAUUAGCUAGUAGGUGGGGUAACGGCUCACCUAGGCGACGAUCCCUAGCUGGUCUGAGAGGAUGACCAGCCACACUGGAACUGAGACACGGUCCAGACUCCUACGGGAGGCAGCAGUGGGGAAUAUUGCACAAUGGGCGCAAGCCUGAUGCAGCCAUGCCGCGUGUAUGAAGAAGGCCUUCGGGUUGUAAAGUACUUUCAGCGGGGAGGAAGGGAGUAAAGUUAAUACCUUUGCUCAUUGACGUUACCCGCAGAAGAAGCACCGGCUAACUCCGUGCCAGCAGCCGCGGUAAUACGGAGGGUGCAAGCGUUAAUCGGAAUUACUGGGCGUAAAGCGCACGCAGGCGGUUUGUUAAGUCAGAUGUGAAAUCCCCGGGCUCAACACUGGGAACUGCAUCUGAUACUGGCAAGCUUGAGUCUCGUAGAGGGGGGUAGAAUUCAGGUGUAGCGGUGAAAUGCGUAGAGAUCUGGAGGAAUACCGGUGGCGAAGGCGGCCCCUGGACGAAGACUGACGCUCAGGUGCGAAAGCGUGGGGAGCAAACAGGAUUAGAUACCCUGGUAGUCCACGCCGUAAACGAUGUCGACUUGGAGGUUGUGCCCUUGAGGCGUGGCUUCCGGAGCUAACGCGUUAAGUCGACCGCCUGGGGAGUACGGCCGCAAGGUUAAAACUCAAAUGAAUUGACGGGGGCCCGCACAAGCGGUGGAGCAUGUGGUUUAAUUCGAUGCAACGCGAAGAACCUUACCUGGUCUUGACAUCCACGGAAGUUUUCAGAGAUGAGAAUGUGCCUUCGGGAACCGUGAGACAGGUGCUGCAUGGCUGUCGUCAGCUCGUGUUGUGAAAUGUUGGGUUAAGUCCCGCAACGAGCGCAACCCUUAUCCUUUGUUGCCAGCGGUCCGGCCGGGAACUCAAAGGAGACUGCCAGUGAUAAACUGGAGGAAGGUGGGGAUGACGUCAAGUCAUCAUGGCCCUUACGACCAGGGCUACACACGUGCUACAAUGGCGCAUACAAAGAGAAGCGACCUCGCGAGAGCAAGCGGACCUCAUAAAGUGCGUCGUAGUCCGGAUUGGAGUCUGCAACUCGACUCCAUGAAGUCGGAAUCGCUAGUAAUCGUGGAUCAGAAUGCCACGGUGAAUACGUUCCCGGGCCUUGUACACACCGCCCGUCACACCAUGGGAGUGGGUUGCAAAAGAAGUAGGUAGCUUAACCUUCGGGAGGGCGCUUACCACUUUGUGAUUCAUGACUGGGGUGAAGUCGUAACAAGGUAACCGUAGGGGAACCUGCGGUUGGAUCACCUCCUUA